CCUGCAUUUCCUGCGAGUCAACAGAAACCAGGUCCACAUGAUUCUGUCUGCAGUACCUCAGGGCUUCUCGCCAGGUCUUCUUCUCAGUGAUCACGUCCUAUCCAGAAGUUGCCUCCUUUACCCUUGAGAAGGUCUUUCACAGCAUCCAUUUCUUCUUGGUUCUCGAUGGUGGCCAGGGUGGCGGGGAACCUGGAGUCUAUCCCAGGCAACAUGGGGCACAAGGUGGGGUACACCCUGGACAGGGUGCCAAGCCAUUGCAGGGCACAAUCACACAGACGUUCACAUACCACAGACACUUUUGGACAUGCCAAUCAGCCUACAGCACAUGUCUUUGGACUGGUGGGGUAAACCGGAGUACCUGGAUGAAACUCCCAAAGCACAGGGAGAACAUGCAAACUCCACACACAGAGGGCAGUGGCAGGAAUCAAAGCCCCAACCCUGGAGGUGUGAGGCAAGCAUGCUAACUACUAAACCACCAUGCUCCCAGGAAUGGCAUUUCCUGAUGUAGUUCUUAUCCGUGUUUCUCAUCUUGGAUGGAUUCAAACCUGCAGAGUCUUCUUUUUCCUCUUCAAAAUCCCCUUAUUAAUUUAUUCAGAUCAUUAUUAACCCCUUAUGGUACGGGCUCUCAGUUAUGGGGUCACAAUCCAACAUUACAGCUGAGAUGCAGACUGUAGUUCUAUGCAAAUAAACCAGAUCGAAAGAAGAUUUCAUAAUAAUUAAAAUGGUCAUGAUUUAAAACCAUAAUUAAAAGUGAGUGUUGUUAUAAUUAAAAUUUCAUUAGCCUUCAUCUUCAUUCAGUGCAUGUAAACUGUCAUUGGAAUCAAAGUGGCCUUUACACUGAACACUAGAACACUCGAAUCACGCAGAACAGCUACAGUAUUUAAAACAAAAUAACAUUGUUUUUCAUGGCAGGGUUAUGGUUUUAGGCUAGAGACACAGAAAAUACAAUAUUCAUGCUAGAUUUUAUAGUGUAUGUCCAUAAUCUAAGCAGCACAUGGGUGAUAUUUCAGUCUGUAGUUUACUGCAGUAGAGCUGCUCUGGUGUUGGUUAAAAUCCAAAAUGAAUGAAAGUUCUAACUGUUCAGAGCGUAGAAGUGAAACUCUACCUAGAUUAACUUCAUAUCAUCAUAUGCAGUGAUAAUGCAUGUUUAUUAGAUGUACAGAUAUUUCCACAUUAUAUUUACGAAACCAGAACAAAAAUGAAGCGGUAUGGCCAGAAGUCCAGUAUGUGGACACCUGACCAUCACACCCAUAUCUGGUUCUCCUCCAAACUGUUUCUAAAAAGUUGGACGAACACAACUGUAUAGAAUGUCUUUAUAUACUAUCACAUGACAAUUUCCCUUCACUGGAACCAAGAGACCCAAACCUGUUCCAGCAUGAAAACGCCCCGUGCACAAGGCGAGCUCCAUGGAGGCAUGAUGUGUUACGGUUGGAGGAGAAGAAUUCGAGUGUGCUGCACAGAGCCCUGACCUCAACUCCACUGAACACCUCUGGGAUGAACUGGAACACCGACUGCACCCCAGAC